CACAGAUAAAAGGUCAAGAAAAACCAGGAAGAGAGAGAGAGGGCGGGAAGGAUCUAUGAACCAUAGAGAAAGAGACAAUCUACAUUGGCUGGAUUUACCGUGUACAAGCUUGACUGUUUUGGACUUACCUGUUGGCGUUUAGACCUGGACCUACCGAGAACCAGAUUUGUGUACCGAACCCUGCUAUCCUUGACCUUACCUGUGGCCUGGGUGGACCAGGACAGCGAAACAAACACACAGAGGACCUGAGCCCUAGGACCAUGCCUCAGGACUACCUGAGCCCUAGGACCAUGCCUCAGGACUACCUGACUGACUCCUUGCUGUCCCCAGUCCACCUGGCUGUGCUGCUGCUCCAGUUUCAACUGUUCUGCCUGCGGCUAUGGAACCCUGACCUGUUCACCGGACGUGCUACCUGUCCCAGACCUGCUGUUUUCAACUCUCUAGAGACAGCAGGAGUGUCCGGAACCUCCUACGACGGUCCACAGGCCGGAGCCCUCCUUUGCGC
rnacentral:lncRNA from 1 species